UCGAGACUCGCUAAGUUUGCCCAACUGAAAAGCCUUAGGGCACUUUUAAAAAGAAAAAAAAAUCAAUACAUUCAUAAGUUGUUUGUAUAGCUCUCCAAUUACAAUGGCGAAUUCCUCUAGAAGGCUGAGAUCGGCGUUUGAGAGGUCAAUCUCACCUACCGGCCGGUUCUGCAACACCAUGGCGGCAACUGAUGCGACGUCGUUCGCUUCGUACAGGACCUCUAGCUUUUAUUCGUCUCAAUCGUCAGGUUGUUUCAACCGAUCGGCUUCUCCGACGCGCGUGAAUCUCCACGCGCUGGCGCCGAUGAAUUCUACGCCUAGCGUUAAGUUCUCCAUAGAUAGAUCUAGCUCUCCUCGCCGUUCCGUGGCAGUGUCUCAGCGUGAUCAGGUGGUUCGGAAGCUGAUUCCGAAAAGGACGUGCUUGUGCUCUCCGACGACGCAUCCUGGUUCGUUCAGGUGUAGUAUGCAUAAGAAUAUGAGAAAUACUCCUUCGAUUUCGUAUUCACCUAGCCGAUUGAAUGCUCGGCGAUCGGCGAUGACGAACUCACUGGUGCGAAUCUGGUCUGUUGAAGGUGAUUUAGUAAAACGAGCUCUGGCAGCUCUUAUUAGGCCUUCUUCGCAUCAUCAGAGACGUCGAGGUGACUUUCAACCGCGUCCUAGCCGGCUUUCCAGAAUGUCCAAAGUAUAACCUAUGGAAAAGUUUCCGUUUCCGUGGUUACAGGUUGGUGAUUUUCAUAUAUUAUCUGAAGCUCAUCUCCUGAGAGUUCUCCGGCGAUGGUGUCAGAUUCCAGCUGCUGUUUUUACUACUCCGACGAAACGAAAGCUAUGGCAAUUUUGAUACACUUUUGUAUUUCCCGUCGUGUUCGGCGUUCAUCGUUCCAUUAUGCUUUGGCGUUUCCCGUUCGUUCGCCGUAUCUGCGUUCCGGCGUUCGUCGUGCUUUAGCAUCUGUUCAUCAUCUUUCGUCCAAGGUUUGGGUUUCAUAUUCAGGUUUGGUAACUUUUACCUUGACUUGGAAUCUAUGGAGGGGAGAUGUAAGAAGGAUGUUAAAUUCAAAGUGAUUUGGAACUUACUGGACAAAUAAAAGGAUCAUGAAAUAAACUCCAGAAAAAUCUUUUGAUAAAAAUGAAAAUAAUAGGCUAAAACGGUAAAAUUAUAAAUCUAAAAAUUACAAAAGCUACUUUUUUCUGCUUUUUUUAAAAUUAUUUGUGUUUCUCAUCAAAAAAUUUUUCUUUCAAAAACUUCGCCAAACAUCUGAAUUUUAAAAAAAGUAGUUUUGGAUUGAAAAAAUUUGGUCAAACAGUCUAGUAGACGUUAUCCCUAUUGUAUGUGAGUUAGAGUACAUCGAGAAAAAAGCUAAGAUACAAAUACGAAAAAGAACCAUAACAGAAAAAUCUAAUGGAAAUUGAUUAAGGGAAUCGGACAGUAAUAAAAGCAACAAAAUGGGAGACAGGCUGGACGUUGGUGUCUAUGGCCUAUUUUUAUGAUGAUGGUAGGUCCUACGCAUGAGCCUUUUCAAACAUGGUGAACAGGUAAUAUGGACCUUCUAGUAGUCACUCUGUCGAAGGAAGCACUGGAGUUGAUGAAAACAUUGCAGCAACGAUGAAAUUAUUUUUGUUUGACUUAUAGGUUAUAAUUAAUUUCGAACCGUAAAAUUACCAUUAUAAUUAUAUUAGAAUAACUUAUUAUAUUUUUAAAGUGUGACUCUUUCCCAAAUCACGCAUAAAUGCAAAAUGGCUCUGUACAGCUUCUCUAUAAUCACUUUAUUGCCAGGAUGGCUGGAGGCUCGGUGGCACUUUGAAGGAAGAUAGGAAAGGAGGAGUGAGCCGUCAUGAAAGUUUGAAACUGACAAUAGCUAAUGCUUAAAUGACAAAAUAGGUCCUGAAAAGUUCCAACUUCGUGAUCCCUUUUUCUUCGUAUUCUUUCAAAAUCCUACUCGUGAAAAAAAGAAAAAACAGCCCUGAAAAAUACUUCAUAUACCAAACACUUGUGAUACAAAAGUCAUGAUGGGCUCGGGAAUUACGAGAAUACAACUAAUAAUUUUUGUUCACCCACACUAAGUUUUAUUUUUACCUGAAUUACAAAGAAUACGGAAGUGAUGGGGAAAAGUUUACUCAA